rnacentral:tRNA from 1 species
CAGAAAAUAAUAUAUAUCUAAAUGUAUAUAAAUUUUGGAGAUUUAAAGAGAGAAAUUCUUUUCUGA